rnacentral:misc_RNA from 1 species
UCCCCCGUGAGGGGGCAGUCUCGCCUGACAUAUAAAACAGGCAACGCGGGUUGCGUUCGUUACCCCACUGAAGGGAACAACUCAAGCCACGAACUGACGACGACCAUGCAUCACCUGCCAAGCCGUCUUGCGAAAGCUAAAGUUUCCUAAAGCGGUCGUCUUGGUUUCAAACCCUGGUGAGGUUCUUCGUUUGUCAUCGAAUUGAGCCGCAUGAUCCACCGCUUGUGCAAGUCCCCGUCUAUUCCUUUGAGUUUUAGCCUUGCGGCCGUACUACCCAGGCGGAUAACUUAACGCGUUUGCUUCGCCUCGAAGAGGGUCGAUACUCCUCAAAGCCAGUUAUCAUCGUUUAGGGCGUGGACUAC